rnacentral:rRNA from 1 species
GAUGAACGCUGGCGGUAUGCUUAGCACAUGCAAGUCGAACGGACUCUUCGGAGUUAGUGGCGGACGGGUGAGUAACGCGUGAGAAUCUGGCUUUGGGUUCGGGACAACCACUGGAAACGGUGGCUAAUACCGGAUGUGCCGAGAGGUAAAAGAGAAAUUGCCUGAAGAUGAGCUCGCGUCUGAUUAGCUAGUUGGUGAGGUAAAGGCUCACCAAGGCAGCGAUCAGUAGCUGGUCUGAGAGGAGGACCAGCCACACUGGGACUGAGACACGGCCCAGACUCCUACGGGAGGCAGCAGGGGGGAAUGUUCCGAAAUGGGCGAAAGACUGACGGAGCAAUACCGCGUGAGGGAAGAAGGCUCUUGGGUUGUAAACCUCUUUUCUUAGGGAAGAACAAAAUGACGGUACCUAAGGAAUCAGCAUCGGCUAACUCCGUG